CCCUCUCCCCCUCCCUCCCUCCCUCCCUCCCUCCCUGGUUGCUUCAAUGUCCAUGGAUCCUGGGCCAGAGCCAGGCCAGCUAGCCACUGUUUGGAAACUCUUACUGGGAACAAGGAGAAACCUGUGCUCUCCGUCUCUCAGUCUAUGGACACUUUUAGCUGAAAGGCAGAGUAUCUGUCAUCAGAGAGGGAGCUUGAGAAGAGACGUGACCAACCGACCUCGGUGUGAAGCCGGUGACGCCAAGUCAGGGAAGCAGAGCUGAGAAGUAGAGAGAGGCACAGGCUGCCAACGCCUCUGAGCUGACGGAUCGGCCCUGCCAGACUGUCCUGGCUGUUUUAGUGAAGCCCUACUUGAUUAUACCCACUGCCACCAGUAAUAGGGUUGUGGGGACAGAAUCUUGCUAUUAGCACUUUGAGAAAAGGAACAGAGCAGAAGCCAACGCUGGCACCGGCAUUAGUCAAUGAAACCCACCACAAGCCGAGCGGACAGAAAGAAGGGAAUCACACUUUAGCCCAAGAGCCAUAACCACAGAUGAGAGCCUCGGACUUCAUCUCCUGUUGGGAAAGAACAGUAUCUUCCCUGGAGAGGGAUGGAUCAUAUAAGAUCCAGUCGAUCGGGACGUGUAUAAAACGAUUCUGAAACUCGGUAACAACAUUUAAACAAAGAAGGGUCGGGUUUCUACUCAGAAGGUAGAUGGAGAGGGGUAGGAGACAGUGUAUGGAAACAUGAGGGGUCUCUCUGCAAACCGUGGUGACAUAAUUGGGUUGAUUGUAGCAAGAAGGUAAUUUAUUACCAUGUUAUAGGGCCAUGCACAGCCUCUGUGGGAAAGACGCAGGCAAGUCCAGUGCAAGCAGGUGAGCACACUGCCUCUUGCAGAAAGGACCCAUGGCUGGGUGGAUAUGCAUGGCUUGUGGAACUCCCUAUGCCCUAGGUGUUAGCUCCAUGCUGGUACAGCUUCAGGAACUGGGUCUCAACUUCAGAGCCUCUGAGCUGCCAGGGAGACGUCCUUGAGUCCUGCUUUCCACUCAAGACAUUCCUGGGCAUCACACUGCCGCAGGCCAGAGUCAUCGUACCUUCAAAGAUACCGUGGAGCUGUGUGCAAUAGUACUUCUCACUGAUACCAGGGGAGAAAGGACUCUACCCACAAAAUAAGGAAAUUGCUUCAAUAUAAAAUGGCUUGGUUCAGAGAGAAAGGCGAGAGACCCAGAGGGCCAGGAGAAUGACUGGAAAUCUGUAACUGCUGAGGGUUGGGAGUGGGGAGAAUCUCUAGAAAGUCCCAGAGACCUGAGGUGGGGGCAGCUCCCAGGAGUGGGUGACCUUAGCAGAGCUGCUUAACAGUAGAGACAUGGAACCUGAAGAAGCCACCUCCUGUAGCCAGGCAGGAUCCCCAGUGGA